UCCUUUAUUUCCCACUAAGUACUUUAAUUUCUAUGAUGGAUUUGAAUGUGAAUGUUCCUCUUACAUUCACUUAGACGCUAUAAAGGUGCUGGUUCCUGCAUAUUAAAAGUCUGAGCUGCAUAAAAGACUAUACAAGCAAGUCUUUUUUUGUGUGUGUGUAUUUCGUUGGCGAUAUACCCCAAGAGACACAACAAUUUGAUUUUGGAAAUAGUUAAGGUCAUUUUAAUACAGCACUAGAAAAUUAUGAAAACUGGUAGAAUUGAGCGAUGGAUACACGGAUACUUAUGAAACAAAGCCUGUCUGUCCAAGCUAUGAGUGUAGAAAUGAUUGACAACCAUUUGAUUUUGGAAAUAGUUAAGGACAUUUUAAUACAGCACCAGAAAAUUAUGAAAACAAGAAGAAUUGAGCCAUGGGUACACAGAUACUUAUGAAACAAGGCCUUUCUGCCCAAGCUAUGAGUGUAGAAAUGACUGACAACCAUUUGAUUUUGGAAACAGUUAAGGACAUUUUAAUAUAGCACUAGAAAAUUAUGAAAACUGGAAGAAUUGAGCUAUGGAUACCCAGAUACUUAUGAAACAAAGCCCUUUCUGUCCAAGCUAUGAGUGAAGAAAUGAUUGACAACCAUUUGAUUUUGGAAAUAGUUAAGGACAUUUUAAUAUAGCACUAGAAAAUUAUGAAAACAAGUAGAAUUGAGCCAUGGAUACACAGAUACUUAUGAAACAAAGCCCUUUCUGUCCAAGCUAUGAGUGUAGAAAUGAUCGACAACCAUUUGAUUUUGGAAACAGUUAAGGACAUUUUAAUAUAGCACUAGAAAAUUAUGAAAACUGGUAAAAUUGAGCGAUGGAUACACAGAUACUUAUGAAACAAAGCCCUUUCUGUCCAAGCUAUGAGUGAAGAAAUGAUUGACAACCAUUUGAUUUUGGGAAUAGUUAAGGACAUUUUGAUACAGCACUAGAAAAUUAUGAAAACAAGUAGAAUUGAGCUAUGGAUACCCAGAUACUUAUGAAACAAAGUAAAAUCAAGUUAUGAAGGGCCUGUCCAUCCAAGCUAUGAGUGUAGAAAUGAUUGACAACCAUUUGAUUUUGGAAACAGUUAAGGACAUUUUAAUACAGCACCAGAAAAUUAUGAAAACUGGAAGAAUUGAGCCAUGGGUACCCAGUUUUCCUAAGCCAUGAGGGUAUAGAUUAGCAACAAGAUGAAUUAAGGUUGACAGGAUACAUUAAUUAAUCUUCCUUUACCUUUACGAAUAAAUGAAAAACAAUGAAGUUCUUUGUCUAUAAACUUUAAUUAGUAUAAAUCUCCACUGGGAAAAAUAAUCAUAUAUAAACUGACAUGCUAUAAAAAAUAAAUGCCAAUAAUAGCCAUAAAAUAUUAAGCUUCCAACUAAGGGUAUGGAUGACAGAUUUUGACUUGGAAUAAUAUUUUUUGAAGAGAUGCAGAGACUCAUAAUGAAUGCAAGUCAUCCGAGAAUUUAGAAGAGUUACUGAGUCAUUCAAAUUUACAGGAGCAUGAGACACUACAGGCCAGUUCCAACGUUAAACACAAUGCUUUUCAGAAGAGAUGCAGAGACUCAUAAUGAAUGCAAGUCGUCCGAGAAUUUAGAAGAGUUACUGAGUCAUUCAAAUUUACAGGAGCAUGAGACACUAAAGGGCAGUUCCAACGUUAAAACACAAUAGGCUUCAACCUGCCAAACUAGAAAAUGAGAACUAUAUGGAACUGGAAAUAAAGGCAAAAAGAUAUUAGUGAACAUUUCAAAAACACCAUCAGGCCACCCCAUCCACAAUAGCCUCGACAUUAAGCCCCGCCCCUUUCCCCCCAUUCAGAGCAUAUGAUUGGACGAUACAUCAGCAAGCCACACCUCUUUUCUAACCAGUCUGCAUGUGAUUGGUGGAUGCUGGGAAGGGUUAAAUCUCACUGGUGGAUGAUGGGAAAGGUCAAAUCUUAUUGGUGGAUGCUGGGAAGGGUUGAAUCUUAUUGGUGGAUGCUGGGAAGGGUUGAAUCUCAUUGGUGGAUGCUGGGAAGGGUUGAAUCUCAUUGGUGGAUGCUGGGAAGGGUUGAAUCUCAUUGGUGGAUGCUGGGAAGGGUUGAAUCUCAUUGGUGGAUGCUGGGAAGGGUUGAAUCUCAUUGGUGGAUGCUGGGAAGGGUUGAAUCUCAUUGGUGGAUGCUGGGAAGGGAUUAAAUCUUAUUGGUGGAUCUGGGAGAGGUGAAUUUUAUUGGUUGAUGUGCGACUGAUGUGGGCGGGGCAUAAAAUCGAUGUUAAUGUGAACAGAGCACUAUAGGGUUAACAUGGAACCUCACACACACACAUACACACACACACACAUACAUACAC